CAAGCCGUCCCCCAAGGGGAAAGAGACGAAGGGUUUCAUUCAUGGUCAUGUCAAGAUAUUCCAAUUGCAUCAUUGCUUCGUAUGUCAGAGGAGCCUUCGGAUAACAGGAGAAUGGUGAUCAGUCCCAGAAUUCCGGGAAGCUGUACAAAGAGAGAACAAAAUGGGCAAGAUUUGCUGCAGAUGGUUAUAUCUGUGGGGAUUUUGGUGUCCUUAUAAAUACCAACAGCAUGCUGACAAGGUGCGUGCUUUCAUCUACAGCAGCAAACUCCAGUACAAGCAGGGCAUUUUCAUAGAUGUGAUCUUGGACUGAGAAACAGAGAGAAAAAUCAGCUGCUUGGUCCCUUUGAAAUGCAAACUAUUCCCAUGUUGCAACAUCGUGGCCAAAUUUGCUAGCGGAUUUUGAGCACCUGCGUGCUCUCUUAGAAAGCAGCAGUUGCUUUGCAGAGAGCUUCCUCCUCGCUUUUGCUUCUGAUGAGACAAUGGAGUCGUGGUAAAUUCUGGGGGUGACAAGUGCUGUCAUUAAAUAACUAGGUAAAAACCCGGCAGAUUUCCGAUAGAUCUGCAAAAAGCCCCGUUCCCUGCCCUGGGACGAGCUGCAGGCGCGGUUGCAUCGCAGGGUUGUAAUCGCACCGAGUGGGUGUGCAAGCUCCGUCCUGCACUGCCAUCUAUAGCGCGGCGCUGAGCACAGCAAACGGCACAAAGCAGACCAGAAUGCCCCCAGAUCCUUUGUGCAAUUAAUUAAAGUGGGGAUGUAGGGAGCAGGAGGGCACCUCUGCCACCGUGGCCUGUGCUGUUUUGGACAGGAUGCGAGCAGCACGCUCGGGGUGUAAGUCCCAUCUGCCCUCCUCUCUGCCUGCCCCUCGUCUUCUCUUUUUGUUUGCAAAACAAUUUCAUCCCCUCCAGAUCGAUACAGAAAUGGCCAGCUUUCUCCAGAGGGCAGCUUCAGAUACACCAAAUCAGAGCCAUUAAACCAAAACCCAUUUUGACUCUGAUGAGCAAAGGGAAUUUCUUUUAUUUUUGAUUUUUAAACCAGAUGUUGCUUUCAUGCUCUGAAACAGCUGAAUGGAUUUUCUUCAAACUCCUCACACGCACAAAAAUUCACCUUUGGGCUGCGAACAAGCUUAAGAAAUCGCAGCGCAAUGGAGAUUUUUUUAUUCCUCCCCUUGUCCUUUUUUGAUUUGGAAAGUUAAAAGGAUCCUAAAAUAGAAGCUGAGAAUUGGAUUAAACAUCCCUUUGUUAACUCUAGCACUGCUUCCAAGUUUGCAAUUAUCCUUUCUUAAGGUCCCUGGUUCCCAUCCCUCUUACACUUCCAGCUGCCACAUUUUUUAUUAAAAUAACUGCCAUGGCUACGAUGAGGUACAGCUCCUCCCUGAUGCCAACCAAAGAGGGAGCUUUCUGAGAUGGAUGAGAGAAAGACAGGUCUGGCCUCAUUUCAUCCGCCUCCGAAACUGACCCAUGCUGCUGGGGACAGAGACAAGGGUGGCAGUAGCUGUGGAGCCCUAAACAGCGUCCAAUAAAAUGGUCUUGUGCAAUGCCUGAUCCCAACAACAGCCUCACUCUAGCACUCAUUACUGGUCCAGAGAGAUGUGUUUGUAGCUGACUGCAGUCCCUUUGGGUAUCGUAUAGGAAUAUCGAGGAGCCUUGGACUCUCAGAAAGCAUCUUCAUUGACAAGAGAUGGACCAAAACUAUCAGGUCCUGCUCUCAUCGUUGAUUUUCAGCAACCCCCAUCCGUGCUGAUGAAACGUCCUGCAUGAAGCCCAUCAGCACUAAGCACUGCUGCAGCGUGCAGAAGAGGUGGGGGGCACAUAAAACAAGUCAUUAUUGAGCGUGCCCUCUCUUCUUGCAAGAGGAGCGUUUGGAGGAUGCAAACAGCUGGAAUAUGGGUAAUUUCAUGAUCAUAAAAACUUCAUUUUACUUUUAUUGCUAUCGAAAAGCUCCAGAUAGGUGCAUCUCUCAUCCAGCUGAUUAACCUGAGGUUAGAGCAGAUGUGCACCUCUGUGCACUGGCAGUGGGGUACCUCAGCCUCCCUGCAAAAGAAAACCAAAGGCGAAGCGUUGCUGGCAUGAAGAGACAAAGAACAGCCUCCCUUUUUCAUCUGGCACGCCGGCGCAGCCUCGCUACACCCACUUCGGCUGCUUUCAGCUCCCACCGUGCCUCCCGGUUGCCUAGCAAUCCUAACAAUAUUUUAUGAGGCUUUAUUCCAGGGGCACGGUGUAUUAAUGCCGAAUUUUAGCGAGGCGCUCCAGGAGAAGCAAGGAGGAGGCCUGAGAUAACAUCACAUCGAUUUAUUACAGGCAGACUAGGGGGAGAAAAAGAAAACGCCAAGUGGCGAUAACGGGGAUUUAGCGGUGAGGGCUGAAGAGCUGCUGGGAGCGGUGUUUUGCAGGAUGAUGCGUUGUAUCAGUGUUGUCUGAGCAGGAAACCCGUGCUGAAAUUAUCCUGUCUGGGUAUCCCGGAUUGCUCCUCUGCAAAUUUGGGGAUGUUGGGCCAGGAUUUUCCAGGUGUAGCUCUGGGGAGGAUGAUGCCUGGGGGCAGGUGGAAGGAGGCUGGAGGGGAUGAGACCCAUCAGGUGCUGGUCAGGGGCCACCGAAUUUCCUUCCACCCUGGGCACAAAAUGCAUAAAUCUGUUUCAAAGCACAUUCCCUUGGCUUCUCCCUUCCUACCCCCAAUCAGACAUAUAACCUGGGGUUAUAUUUUAUACCAUUAAUACCCUUAGAGUUAGGUUCACGUUUUCUGAAGAGUUCCUAUUUUUCUGUUUUAGUUUGGCUAGCACAAACUUUGUCUAAGACCCAAACGUGCUAUAAUGGUUACUCUUAAUGUUUGGUGUUGGUUUUGUUUUAAGCCUGCCUUUAAAAAAGAAAAACAGCACCCUUAAUUUUAGCAAAGAUUACUCCAUAACAGUAAUCUCUUGCUAACAUAAACUGAAUUAGGUUCAGCUGUUAAACUCUUACAUAAUUAUUAUUUUGUUGAUGAAGAAUGACCUUCGGUUAUGUUCUGCAACUGUUUCAUUUCUGCAAAACAUGUAUUUAUAUUUAAAAAAAAAAAAAAAAUCAAUAGAAA